GCUCCUGUGCCUGUGCCUGCCCCGGGAACCCUGGGCUCUUCCCAAUUCCUCUUCAACCCUCUGCGAUGUCCUAGGCCUUCUUUUCCAGCCAGGUGGGAUGGCGCCCCUACAAGGCUGUGUCUUCUCCCUCAGAACACGGGCACCCCACUGGGGCACCUCCUGACUUCUGUGGUCUGGAGGCUCCCCUCAAGAAAGAAAUCCAUGCUGUCUGCUCGCAACUCCAUCAUGUUCGGACACCUCAGCCCCGUGAGGAUUCCUUUCCCAAAGGGAAAGAAGCCUCCAGCAGGGCAACAUGGAUAA
rnacentral:lncRNA from 1 species